rnacentral:rRNA from 1 species
AGAGUUUGAUCAUGGCUCAGGGUAAACGCUGGCGGCGUGCCUAAAACAUGCAAGUCGAACGGAUCACCUUCGGGUGGUCAGUGGCAGACGGCUGAGUAACGCGUGGGUGACGCACCUGUUGGUGGGGCAUAACUGCCCGAAAGGGUGGCUAAUUCCGCAUAAGUCUGUUGCUUCAGUGCAGCAGGGAAAGCUCUGGCAACAGAGCGCCGAUGGAGCGGCCCGCGUCCGAUUAGCUGGUUGGUGGGGUAACGGCCUACCAAGGCGACGAUCGGUAGCUGGUCUCAGAGGAUGAUCAGCCAGACUGGGACUGAGACACGGCCCAGACUCCUACGGGAGGCAGCAGUUAGGAAUUUUGGGCAAUGGGCGCAAGCCUGACCCAGCAACGCCGCGUGGGUGACGAAGGCCUUCGGGUUGUAAAGCCCUUUUCUGAGGGAAGAUGAUGACGGUACCUCAGGAAGAAGCACCGGCUAACUACGUGCCAGCAGCCGCGGUAAUACGUAGGGUGCGAGCGUUGCCCGGAUUUAUUGGGCGUAAAGGGCGCGUGGGCGGCCACGCACGUCCGUUGUGAAAUCGCUCGGCUCAACUGGGCGGGGUCAGCGGAUACGGCGUGGCUGGAGCAAGCUAGGGGGCAAUGGAAUUCCCGGGUGUAGUGGUGGAAUGCGUAGAUAUCGGGAGGAACACCAGUGGCGAAGGCGGUUGCCUGGAGCUUUGCUGACGCUGAUGCGCGAAAGCGUGGGGAGCGAUCCGGAUUAGAUACCCUAGUAGUCC